CCAUAACUUUUAUCGACACUUGAAUACAUAUAUUGGAUUCCAACUUAAUUAGCAAACAAAGAUAUGUCAAAAUUCACCCUUCCAACUCUUCCAAACAACCACAACUCAAUAAAGUUAAAUUACUACAUAAAGUAACUAGGUGAACUACAACACCAUGAACACCAUAAGCCAAGUUUCCAAGUUCUUAUCAUGACGUAGAUCAUUCAUUUACUAACUUUUAGUACCUAUAUCUCAAAUAUAUACAAAUCUCAUAAAUAAAUAAAAAACUCAUAUAUUAAAAAACAACUAACAAUCUGAAAUGUAAUAAACUUCAUAAUCAAAAUCAUGGAUUUCAGUCAUAGUUAAUCAUAAACACGAAAUUACUGUUUACUCAUAUCAUGAAAAAUCCCCAUUUGAGGAUACAUACAGAUAUUUGGAAAAAAAAAAAAAAAACCUCACCAUUUAGGUGCCUCUCGACUUGAGUCAUAUCUUUAAAAAAUUUAGAUACGAAAAUUUCAUAAAAAAAAAUCUUAAAAUCUAUAGAGGAAGUAACCUUCGACAUUGAGGAGGACUGCAAUUUCGAGAGCUACCGCUACGAGAAAGAGAGGAAGAAGAGAAAGAUCUGGAGCAAGAAUGAGAGCUAGACGAGGAAGCAAAUCUAGAGUAGGACACGGAGUGAGAGCGAGAAUUGGACUUAGAGUUUGAACCGGAAUAAGAGUAGGAACAAGACCUAGACCGUAAACAAGAACAGGAAGAGGAACCGGAGUUGGAGACAAAACGAGAACGACGACCUCUCAGCUAGAUUCAUAUCUUUAAAAAAUUAAGAUAUGAAAAUUUCAUUAAAAAAUCUUAAAAUCUACAGAGGAAGUAACCUUUGAUGUUAAGGAUUACGAUUUCGAGAGUUACCGCUACUAGAAGGAGAGGAAGAGGAGAAAGAUCUGGAGCGAGAACGAGAGCUAGACGGGGAAGUAGAUCUGGAGCGGGACACAAAGCGAGAGCGAGAAUUGGAUUUGGAUUUGGAGUCUGAAUCGAAAUAAGAGCGAGAGCUAGACCUAGACUGUGAACAAGAACAGGAAAAGGAACCAGAGUUGGAGACAAAACGAGAACGACGAUCUCUUGUUGGCUUUACGAUUUGCAGAAUACAAAGAGAGGAAUAGUAGAGAUAAGAAACCAUUUUUUUUUAUAUUUUUAUCUUUUGAAAAUGUUUUUAUUGAUUUUUAAUAUUUUUUAGAUUAUGACAUCAUCGUGAUGUUUGAAGGGCG
rnacentral:lncRNA from 1 species